rnacentral:rRNA from 1 species
GUGUCAGCCGCCGCGGUAAUACGUAGGGGGCGAGCGUUGUCCGGAGUGACUGGGCGUAAAGCGCGCGCAGGCGGCCAUCCGCGCCGGUCGUGAAAGCCCCCGGCUCAACCGGGGCACGUCGAUCGGGACGGGGUGGCUGGAGGGUGUCAGAGGGGGGUGGAACGCCGCGUGGAGCAGUGAAAUGCGUAGAGAUGCGGCAGAACACCGGAGGCGAAGGCGGCCCCCUGGGGCACAACUGACGCUGAGGCGCGAAGGCGCGGGGAGCGAACGGGAUUAGAUACCCUUGUAGUCC